GUCAGAAAUUUGGUACUUGCCCUAAUACUAGAUAUUGAGAAUUCGCAACCCGCUCUGAUACUGACUGUUGUUAAUCCAGUACCGGAUGUUGGGAUUUCUCAACAGAAGCGUUGAAUCGGGUUUUUACCAUAAAUCCGUCUCCUCAGCAAAAGCUGUGUAACAUACCGGAUUUUAAUAUAAAAAAUUAAGAUAAAUAAAAAUAGUGUGAGAUACUAUUUUUAUUGGAUUUAGAGAAGUAAAACAUAAGUCGGAAAUGACUUGUGCUGAAAUCGGAACGAAAACAGAAGAUUUAGAAUUUUCUGUUGGAAACGGGGCUGAUAUUUUAGCAGAAAAUACACAGUGUCAGAAAAUUAUGAAAAUUGGAGAAUAUGUCAGAAUUAUUUUUAUGAGGCUAGAUUUAAAGUUUCAUAUCAUUCUGACACUCGAAAGGUGCAAAAUAAAAUCCGACUGCUAUCUGCUAGAGAUUAUAAUUCGGUAGAGCUUUCAGUGACCAAACAUGGUCGAAACUGAAAGAUUAAAUUUUUUUUGUACUUAUUAAGUAAAACCGAGGCUGACUGUCAAAUUUCAGCGCAAACGGACAUUCAGAAGGGUUCCGACGAAAAACGUCAGUUUGUAAGCUGCUAAUCUGCUAAUGUGAAUAUAUAGUGUAAUGUUGAGGGGGUUUUGUAUAAAAGGUGUUGUCUUCUUCUUCUUCUCUCUCAACUGAGCAACACCACCAGCCCACACACGUUUGGAGAGGGAGAGAGAGAAACCCUCCCUUUCUCUCUCUAAAUACCUCUCUCAUCUCUCUAGAUAUCUCUCUCAAAUUCGCAGCGUUGGCGGAGAGCGAGCUUGUGAACGCGUUGGGAGCGUCGGAUCGGGCCUUCGUGCGCCCGGUUGGGUGGCGUGCUUCCGUCUCGGCGUUCACAUUUGGGUAAGCUUUUGGGAUUUGGCUUAAUUCUUAAUACUUAGUGUUCUAAUAGCCUCUAAUGUGAUGUUAGCAUGUUUUCUCCAUUUAAUUUGGAUUAUUUGGAUUAUGUGUAGAGACUAGAUUUAAAAUGGUGGAUUUCUAGGGUUUGAAUUAUAUGUUCUAGGAAUGGGUUUAGAGGACUCCCUAGGUGAUAUCAACAUGCUAUUUGCUUGAAUCAUGAAUCAAUUUGGAGGUUUAUUGCAAUAGUAGCAUGUUAGGGUUCAAAAAUGGAGUUUUGCUUUGUCUUAGGGUUUGAUCUAAAUUAAUCCUAUACAAAUCUAAUUACUAGGUGUACGAAUGCGUUCGCAAAGUCGGUUCGGCGAUUUGUCGAGCCGGUGCGAAGAUAUUAAAGAAACGGACGUUUAGGCUUCGUUUCCGCCUGGAGUGCCGAGGCGACGUCCAAAAAUCGUGAGAAUGGAUCCGGAGCAUCGUAGCAUCAAGUUAUAGACCUUUAAUUUUCGGAUUGCGGAUUGGUGGCCGUUUGGUGGUCGAGUGCGAGUUCGAGCCGAACCGAGCGGCGGGUGCUGCGAGAGGCCGAUUGCAAGUGACUACAAGCAAUCGGAGAGCGUUACGAGGUGGGUUGUGCUCACCGAAAUAUCUGGCUCGCUUUCAUGUCGAAGCAAAGUAAUAUUUCAUAAUUGAUGCAUACAUGUAUAGUGGUAGGUUGCAUAAGGUAAUAUGGAUGCAUGAACCUUAUUAUGCUUGAUGUUUAUUAUCUACCGUUGAGAUAAACAUGUUAAUACAUUGAGGAAUAUGUUAGAGGUAAUAUGCAGGUUGAUAAAUUAUGGAACAUGUUAGGUGACAUAUGAAUAUUUGGUAUAUGUAUAUAGACAUAUAGUGGAAUAUGAUAAAUGAAUGUGCAUGUUGACAUUGUGGAGUAUGCUAGAUGAAAGUAUGCAUGAUGGAAAGUUGUGAAAUGUGCUAAAAAGUAUAUACAUGUGCAAUUGCAACAUUGUGACAUUUGACAUAACAAUGAAAACUUAGAAAUAAAGUGACAUGUUGACAUAAAUGUAUGAGUGGCAUUAAUGAAUAUAAUCAAUGCUAAAGAAUGCUAGAAAGAGAACACUUAGUGUGUGUGGCAUUAAUGAGAACAAACGAGUGCAUAAAAACGAGUAUAAAGAACAAGUAGUGUAAAUAAACUAAUGAAAGUAAAGAAUGCAAGUAAAAGAGUGAUAGUGACAUUAUGACAUAACAACCUUAGAGUUAAGGGUCAUAUGUGUAUUGUUUUCUUACAAUUAAGGAAUGGAUUGAACUUGACAUCCUUAUAGUUAAGGAUUGAAUUAUACUUACCUGUAAGUCCUUACUUGAGAGUGGUAGCUCCUCCUCGAGUGAUGUGCUCCGGAGUUGUCAUUACUCGAUGUAGUAGUCUCCCUAGAGAACGGUCCUGUCUAGGGGUGGAACUAGGCCAGGCUUGGUUCGGGUAAUACUAUGCCCAAGCCCGGCCCAAAAGAAAAUGUUGGGCUUCGGGUUGGGCUUUUACCUAAUUUUGUUUAAAAAUUAAGGCCCGGCCCAAGCCUAAGCCCAAUGCCCAAUACCCAUCGGGCUUUGUUAAGGCCCAUUUUAUACAUUUAUCAUAUAAUACAUAAAUACUUUUAUUUGUAUAAUAAUAUGUACCAUAUAUUUACUCAUAGAUAUGUAUAAUUAAUUAAUUAUAUAUAAUAAUACUAUUUAAUAUAUCCUAAUAUGGAACUAAAUAUUUUGUUAAUAUAUAAUAUAUCCUCAUAUAUAUAUAAGUAUAUACCAUUAAUAACACUAUAUACUAUAUAUGAUAUAUUAUAUAAUUUAUUCUUUUUAUAAAUAAAUAUUAUAUAUAUAUAAUUAAACAUUUUAUUUUAAUAAUUAAUAUAUCGGGCUUUUGGGUCGAGCUCGGGCCAGGCUUGGACAUGCCCAAAUAGGUGCAAAAUUUUUUCGGGCCUAAAUUUUGAAGCCCGGGCCGAAUCCAAAGUUAAGUUUUUAAUAUCCAAAGUCCGGCCCAAACAUGGCCCAUCGGGUCGGGCCUUGUUUAGGCCCAGGCCCAGUUCCACCCCUAGUCCCGUCGGGUGUAGUAGUCUCCCCGAUACUGGGAUUUGAGUUGGUGAGUCUAUUGAGGGCGAAACCUACGGACUAGCCUAGAGAUUGGGAUCUGAGCAGUAAUCUUGCAUUCAUCAUGAAUUGACUCAAGACCGAGUCGAGUGGCAUAGUUGGCUAAGGUAAAUAUAACCUUAGGAAAGAAUGACAUUUGAGCAAAAUGUGACUAAGAAUAAAGAGUAGAGAAUGGCGAGUGAUAAAGAAUUGCUAAUAAUAUAAAGAAUGGUAAUUGAUAGAGAGUAGAAUCAAUAAAUCUGCUUGCAUGAGUUGCAUGAUUUACAUAUUACAUGUCUUGAAGUAUAAACAUGUAUUUAAUAUUUGCAUUGAAUAUUUGUGGAUAUCUGUUGGACUAACAUGUUUGCAGUGCCUCCUUUCUACCUGGUGGGUCGAGCUUUUCCCUUGGGUGGCCAUACCCACUGGGAACUAUGGACAAUAGUUCUCACCCUCGUAUUGUGUUUGGAGGUACAGGUUCACACGUGAGCGGCGCGGCUGCGCGAGGCGAGGGCGUAGCUCCAUAGUUAGCGCCGUACCACCGAGACCAGAGAUAGCGGUAUCCUGAGUCGGCUACUUAGGAAUGUCAAAGAAAAGAAAAUAACCAAGUUGUAAUGAAAUAAUAAGAAUUGGAUUGUGGUUGGGACUUAGAAUCAUUCAAUAAAAAAUGUAGUAAUCUUGUUAAAGCUAGAUUGUAUUUGGAAGCUAAAAAGAAUGAAGAUGUAAUAUGUAAAAUGUAUGUGAGUUGAAUGAUUGUAAUAACUUAGUUGUAAUUAUGUUUUUGAUACAUUCCUUAUGCAAUCUUUGAUUGAAUACUGUUCCUGGUUGGAACCUCGCGUAUUGUAUGAUUGUGACGCCUUGAACGUACAAGUGAGACUCUGUCUGCAGUACAAGGAAAACUCUGUCCAUUCGGCGGUCUGUUGGCGUGCCCGAAUCUGACCAAAGAGGCGGGCUCAGGGCGUGACAAGCUGAUACAAUCGUAAAAAAGAAAAAACUAAAAUAGAAAAUAUGUGGGUAAAAUAAGAUUCAUUAAAUAAGAGAAGAUUACAUCUGACUCAUCUUCUGUAUAAAAUAGUUACAACUCGAGCCCUCUUUCUAAAUCCCUCCUACCCUUCUCUCAUCUUUUAUAAACCUAAAAGACUUCUCUCGUUGGAUGAACCGAUGCACUAGGUGCAUGCAACAUUGGCCAACUCUCUCUGGUGCCACACCACCCAAGAGACUCUCUCUCUGUCGUACUUUUGUCCAAAAGCAACCCAUAUGGUGCUUAUAUAAUACUUAUAAUAGAACAUACCCCAAUCCUAGUAUAAAUAGGAUUCCUACUCCAAAUAAUAUUUAAAUCUAUAUUUAGUUUAUCUCCAAUAGAUUUAAAUAUUUAUCCUAAUCUAAUUAAAUUUAUACUCUAAUUAAUAUUUAAAUCUUAAUUUAUCUCCAGUAGAUUUAAAUGUUAAUUCUUAUCUAACUAGAAAAUCAACUACAAAUCUAACCAAAUCUAAACAAUCUCCACCUUCGUUGGAUUUGUAGCCUUCAACGGCUCCAUCACGUUCACCAUGCAUGCUCCACCUUGAGUUUAUCUCCUCCGCUCAAUGUCACCCCAUUCGCUGCUCCAUCUCAAGUACCUGCACCUUUGAGAACUUUUCGAAUCCAAAUUGACUUUGCUCCUGUUUUGACUAUGCUUCCGUUCAGAAUGUAUAAGUUUCCGCCCUUGUUCGUCUCAUAUACGAUCCGAUCUCCCUUUCGAACCCUUAUAGUUCUACCUGGAGUUGAAAAAUUAGCAACCCUUCGAGUCCAACGCGCGUAACGAGAUCAAUUUUUACCUCAAACCAGGAACGUGCUGCACACCUAUCAACAUCCUCACGACCCUAUUGUGCAUCCAAAUCUUUACCGCACCGACUCCCAAAACUUUGUGUUCCAUUUCGUUCCCUAUUAGAGCCUUUCCACCCUUGAUUGCCUUAUAGGUGGCAAAAGACUCUUUUUCUGGGCACAUGUGAAAGGAACACGCCGAAUCGAGCACCCACGCAUUAUCUAAAAUUUUCGCACCCCCGGUCGCUACAUAUAGCACAUCAGAAUAGAUCAUCUCCAAUUCUUCUGCUUGUGGCAUCGCUAAUAUCGCCUUGUCCUGAUUCACGGUAGUUUUAUUCUUAUGUCAAUUUAACUCCUUCAGAUCAUUCUAAAGUUUCUGACAGUUGCGCUUAAUAUGCCCUUUUCUGUGAUAAUAAAAGCACUCCAACUCAAAUAGCACCUUUUUCUUGUCGAUAUCCGGUUGUCGAAGUUGAUGCCUCCUUCUUCACUUUUACCACUAGAGAAGUAUCCCGGUUCUACGUGCCGGACUGCUUAGUCAUCUCUCGCAUCUCAUUCGAGAGAAGCGCUACCGUGACCGCCUCCACGCUUAUGGCCUCUUUGCCAUAAAAUAACAUGGCCACCAGAUGCUUAUAUGUCGUUGAUAGCGAAGAUAGUAAAAUUAAUAACUUGUCCUCGUUAUCCAGAUUGACUCCAGUACUGGACAACUGGCUACCACCUUGUUGAACUCAUUCAGAUGCUCAUGUAGGCUUUUCGUUUCUUUCAUCCGUAACGUAAAUAAUCCCUACUUCAGAUACAACCUGUUCGUCAGGGAUUUGGUCAUGUACAUAUCUUCUAAUUUCUUCUACAAUUUCGCCGGUGUCGUCUUGCUAGCUACAUUGUAAAAAACCACAUUUGCUAUUAAUAGAUAAAGCGCAGUCAACGUCUUCUGCUCCAUUUUCAUCCAUGCCGCAUUCGUGACUUCCGUUGGUUUCGCUUCCUUCCCAUUCAACGUUUUAUCCAACUCAUGUUGUACUUGGAUUGCUCGUACUUUAAAUUUGCCACAAUCAGAAAUUGUUCUUGCCGUCGAACAUCUCGAUUUCGCACUUCCUGUCGAUAUCUCCCGCAGAUCGAUAACCUUAAUCUCUGAUACCACUUGUUGAAAAUCUAGUACUCACCCUAAUACUGAAUAUUGAGAAUCUGCGGCCUGCUCUUAUACCAACUGUUAUUGAUCCAGUACCGAAUGUUCGAAUUCCGCAAUGAAAGCGUUGAUCGAAUUUUUACCAUAAACCCAUCUCUUCUGCAAAAGUUUAUACAAUCACAAAAAAGAGAAAACUAAAAUAAAAAAUGUGCGGGUAAAAAAAUUUCUUUAAAUAAGAAAAGAUUACACCUGACUCCUCUUCUGUAUAGAGUAGCUACAACUCAAGUCCUCUUUCUAAAUCUCUCCCACCAUUCUCUCGUCUUUUAUAAACUCAAAGGACUUCUCUCGUUGGAUGUACCCAUGCACUAGGUGUGUGCAACCAUAGCCAACUCUCUCUCUAGUACGACACCAUCCAAGAGACUCUCUCUCUCUCUCUCUCUCUCUCUCUCUCUCUCUCUCUCGUACUUUCUUCCAAAAGAAACCCACAUGGUACCUAUAUAAUGCUUACAAUAGAACGUACCCCAAUCUUAGAAUAAUUAGGAUUCCUACACCAAAAAAUAUUAAAAUCUAUAUUUAGUUUAUCUCCAGUAGAUUUAAAUAUUUAUCCUAAUCUAGUUAGAUUUAUACUUUAAUUAAUAUUUAAAUUUUAAUUUAUCUCUAAUCGAUUUAAAUAUUCAAUUCUUAUCCAACUAGAAAAUCAAUCAUAAAUCUCACCAAAUUCUAACAUAUAUCAAGCUUCUUGGACCUAAGGUUGGACUCCAACUUCAAGCUUCAUUGAGGUAGAGCUUUCCAAAGAGAGAUAAAGUUAAAAUUGAGGACUUGGAGGAGAUCAAAUAGUAGAAAGGGCGGAAAAAGAAGAUGAAGAAAGAAUAGAUGGAGAGGGUUCUCUCUCUUUGAGCUGGGAGAAAUAAGGGAGAGAGAGUGAGAGAGCGAUUUAUAUAGAGGCAAACAAGCCUCCCUUACCACCACACUGCUUGCGUAUAGGCAACUACCGGUAUAUCAUAUUGGAGUAGCAGUACUCCCUCACUGAGUACCAGUACACCCUUGUAUUUUUGCAAAAUUUGAGUGUCAGCAACAAAAAUAGCUCAUGGUGUACUGGUGCUCCCUAUACGAGUACCAGUACACAUCGGCCAAUACUGGUACCUAACCUAAGUCCUGCAAAAUCUAAACGUCCCUCCAUGGGAACUUAUAUUGAGUAUUGGUACUUGAGUUUCAGUACUAGUAUUGAAAUGGGAAUUGGCCCAAAAUGCAGAUUGAUUUAGAAACUUUAUUUUUCGCAUUGUUUUCGGACCAAAAUAGUUCCAAGUCAUCUCAAACUCUCCCAAAACCUUACAAAUGGCACAAUAGGCAUCAAGCUCUCUAGCUUCACAUUCAUCCCGACCUUGCCAAAGGAUCUUCAUAUAUGGAAUACGUCUAUCCCGAAGUUGCUUACUUCCCAUGUGAGGAUUCUCAUAGGUUGCUUAUCAAAGCUCAAAUCUUUUCACAAUUCUAACGAGGUAAAGUCAAUAAUGUGAGAGGGAUCAAACAAGUACUUUUGAAGAGUCGAAAUAUAGAAGACACCGUGAACUCCCGAGAGGUUCGGUGGUAGAGCGAGUUAAUAAGCCACUGGCCCAAUCCUCUCCAAGACUUCAAAAGGUCUAGUAAAAUA
rnacentral:lncRNA from 1 species